rnacentral:tRNA from 2 species
ACUAUUUUGGCAGAAAAAAUGUAAUGAUUUUAGAAUUCAUUUAUAUAUAAUUUAUUAUAUAGAUAGUA